GUGCUUGCUUUGGCAGCACAUAUACCGAAAUUAGAAUAAUGCAGUAAAGACUGGCAUGGCUCCAACACAAGGAUGAUACACAAAUUCAUGAAGCAAAAGUGAUGGCU